AAGUCGUAACAAGGUUUCCGUAGGUGAACCUGCGGAAGGAUCAUUACAUUCAGUAGCUUGCUACUGUUAGGGGGGUCUGUCAGCCUGUAUAGUAUCACUACUGAUGAGCAGCGCGACCCUCUGUCUGUACCCUUGUCUUUUGCGUACUCAUGUUUCCUCGGCGGGUUUACACCCGCCGGCUGGACAACUCUAUAACCUUUUUAAUUUUCAAUCAGCGUCUGAAAACAUAAUAAUUACAA
rnacentral:misc_RNA from 1 species